UACGAGGGGAGCUAGCGUUAUCCGGAAUCAUUGGGUUUAAAGGGUCCGUAGGCGGUCUUGUAAGUCAGUGGUGAAAGCCCAUCGCUCAACGGUGGAACGGCCAUUGAUACUGCAGGACUUGGAUUACUAGGAAGUAACUAGAAUAUGUAGUGUAGCGGUGAAAUGCUUAGAGAUUACAUGGAAUACCAAUUGCGAAGGCAGGUUACUACUAGUGGAUUGACGCUGAUGGACGAAAGCGUGGGUAGCGAACAGG
rnacentral:rRNA from 1 species